rnacentral:rRNA from 1 species
CGGGCAUAUUUACAUAAGACGAGAAGACCCUAUGGAGCUUUAGACACCAAGACAGCCCAUGUUAAAUACCCCGAAUAUAACAGUCCAAACUUAAUGGGCUCCUGUCCUAAUGUCUUCGGUUGGGGCGACCAUGAAGUAGCACACAACCCCCAUGCGGAAUAGGAGGACAACCCACUAUCUUCCCCCUCCUCCCACAUGCAAGAGUUACUACUCUAACUAACAGAAUCUCUGACCUUACAUGAUCCGGCUUCCGCCGAUCAACGGACCAAGUUACCCUAGGGAUAACAGCSCAAUCCCCUUUUAGAGCCCAUAUCGACRAGGGGGUUUACRACCUCGAUGUUGGAUCAGGACAUCCUAAUGGUGCAGCCGCUAUUAAGGGUUCGUUUGUUCAACGAUUAAAGUCCUACGUGAUCUGAGUUCAGACCGGAGGUCAUAGCUGUU